GACGAACGCUGGCGGCGUGCCUAACACAUGCAAGUCGUGCGAGAAAGUUCCUUCGGGAGCGAGUAAAGCGGCGCACGGGUGAGUAACACGUAGGUAACCUGCCCCCCAGUCUGGAACAACUAGAGGAAACUCUAGCUAAUGCCGGAUGAGACCACGAUCCCGUUCGGGGGUUGCGGCCAAAGAUGGCCUCUACUUGUAAGCUAUCGCUGAGGGAUGGGCCUGCGGGCCAUUAGCUUGUGGUGAGGUAACGGCUCACCAAGGCUGUGAUGGCUAGCUGGUCUGAGAGGAUGACCAGCCACACUGGGACUGAGACACGGCCCAGACUCCGUACGGGAGGCAGCAGU
rnacentral:rRNA from 1 species